GCAGCCACUCUGGUGGCUACCAUUAGCAGCUAACUUUUGCUCUGCGAUUUUUACAUAAAAAUGGAAUUAUGGAUUAUAAAUAAUUCAAAUUAUUGCCCAGAAACUUUAUCAACCUAUGGAUUAACCGAUUCAGCCGCGUUUUUUCUCGUUUUAAUGCCAUUGAACACGUCUUUUGAUCAGAUUAACAGCUACGGUGAGACGAUCUCCCUAGAAGCUACGUAAAGACAGUGCCCUGCCCAGACUGAGUGACACCAAAGCUGUCGAGGCGUUCAUCGACUCUGCGGAAGUGGUGGUCAUCGGGUUCCUGGAGGGAGAAGAGAGUCACGGCUAUCAGGAACUCGUUGCAGCUGCAAAGCGAGUCGACUCUGUGUCAUUCGCCAUCGUCACUGAGAAAGAGGUGUGGGCGGACUACAGCCUCUCCUCCGGCACCAUCACACUUUUCAGAAAGGCAGAUAACCACCAGGAGAACCUUAGCUUUGACGAUGCCAAGAAGGUAGAAACUGAUGGCCUUGUAAACUUCAUCACCAUCAACGAGGUCCGAUACAUCACAGAAUACAACCAAGUGACUGCGGUGGGUCUGUUUAACUCGGAGGUGAAGGUGCACCUCCUGCUCUUUGCCAACAGGGAGAGUAAAGAAUACACUAAGCUGAAGGAGCGACUGGCAGCUCUCGCCCCUCAGUUCACAUCCAAGCUAUUGUUUGUUCUGAUAAAUGGAGCAGUGAAGUCCAACUCCCGGUCAUUGGGCUACUUCGGCCUCAAGUCUAAGGACCUCCCUCGAGUUGGGUUGUAUGACGGUGACUCUGACAUGAAGUGGCUCCUGCCUGAGGGGAAAAUCACUACGGAGCGAGUGCAGGAGUUCUGCCAGUCCUUCCUACGAGGGGAACUGAAGGAGGUGCCGCAGGCAGGAGUAGAACCCAAAACAGAGCUAUAGGACGAAUGCAAAAUGUAUUAAAAAAAAUCUAAAUGGAAAAAGCAUCUGA